AGCGAACGCUGGCGGCAGGCUUAACACAUGCAAGUCGAGCGGGCAUCCUUGUGGUGUCAGCGGCAGACGGGUGAGUAACGCGUGGGAACGUGCCCUUCGGUUCGGAAUAACUCAGGGAGACUUUAGCUAAUACCGGAUACGUGCGAGAGCAGAAAGGUUUAUCUGCCGAAGUAUCUGCCCGCGUCUUAUUAGCUAGUUGGUUAGGUUACGGCUCACCAACGCGACGAUCAGUAGCUGGUCUGAGAGGAUGAUCAGCCACACUGGGACGAAGACACAGCCCAGAAUCCUACGGGAGGCAGCAGUGGGGAAUAUUGGAAAAUGGGGGCAACCAUGAUCCAGCCAUGCCGCGUGAGUGAUGACGGCAUUAGGGUAGUAAAGCUCUUUUAUCCGGGAAGAUAAUGACGGUACCGGAGGAAUAAGCCCCGGCUAACUUCGUG
rnacentral:rRNA from 1 species